UGGCUAGUGAAAGGAGAGCCCCAAUACGGGGAAUGUUGGUUGCUACAAACCGUUUUCUUUGCAGAAAUCGACUUUCUCGAGAAACAAUUGACUCCAGAAAAGCUUUACGUGAUGCAGUUAUUAUACAAGACGGCAGAGAUUCUAGAUGAGUAACCUGGAUAACUUCAAUUAUUGCACCUGCCAGAAGACGAAUGACAUGUGUGGUUUAGGCAUAAGUCACCUAUGUUUCGAUUAAUUAACAUUUUCUAGAUCUUGAUAAGUUCAUCUUUCGAGAUUCUCCACAGAGUUACACAGAAAGUGCCUUUUCUUCAGGGAGCUGCCGUGACCAGUUUUCUGAAGAAAUGAGUGCAACUAAGUUUGUAUAGCUGCAUUGCAUUUUGACUUGUAGUGUAUUUAGCUAUUGUACUUUGUAAAUUUGAUAGAUUAUUUGCAGGAUCUUUUGGGAGACCAGCCAUACUGAAAGGGAUUUCUGAAUAAUUUGCAGACAUGAUGUGUGUAUCUAUUUAUAUCUAUAAUGCUCACUUGAACGAUCUGCCAUACUUUGUGUCUCUGGCUGUUAGAUUGGGAGUUGCUCUCAGAUAGGGCUCCAUAUAUGAGGGUUAGCUGUUAAAUCAGUAAUUCUGGUUUCAAAACUUGAUAAAUACCAAAGGGCGGUGUUUCUUUACUAUGAUGAGAUGGAACAGUUGAUGAUGCAUAUACGUUGUUAAAUACCUCACAAGUCACUUAGUGAGUAAGAGAUCAUGUCUGCUUGUUCAUCAAAUGCAUGACUUACCACUUGAGCUAUUAGUCAUACAGAGAUGUAUGGGAAUGA